AUUCCCCGGGCUCAACCUGGGAACUGCAUUGGUGACUGGCAAGCUAGAGUAUGGCAGAGGGGGGUAGAAUUCCACGUGUAGCAGUGAAAUGCGUAGAGAUGUGGAGGAAUACCGAUGGCGAAGGCAGCCCCCUGGGCCAAUAAGCUCAUGCACGAAAGCGUGGGGAGCAAACAGGAUUAGAUACCCUGGUAGUCCACGCCCUAAACGAUGUCAACUAGUUGUUGGGGAUUCAUUUCCUUAGUAACGUAGCUAACGCGUGAAGUUGACCGCCUGGGGAGUACGGUCGCAAGAUUAAAACUCAAAGGAAUUGACGGGGACCCGCACAAGCGGUGGAUGAUGUGGAUUAAUUCGAUGCAACGCGAAAAACCUU
rnacentral:rRNA from 1 species